AUUGAACGCUGGCGGCAUGCUUUACACAUGCAAGUCGGACGGCAGCACAGAGAAGCUUGCUUCUUGGGUGGCGAGUGGCGAACGGGUGAGUAACAUAUCGGAACGUACCGAGCAGUGGGGGAUAACUAAUCGAAAGAUUAGCUAAUACCGCAUAUCUUCUGAGGAAGAAAGCAGGGGACCAUUUGGCCUUGCGCUGUUUGAGCGGCCGAUAUCUGAUUAGCUAGUUGGUGGGGUAAAGGCCUACCAAGGCGACGAUCAGUAGCGGGUCUGAGAGGAUGAUCCGCCACACUGGGACUGAGACACGGCCCAGACUCCUACGGGAGGCAGCAGUGGGGAAUUUUGGACAAUGGGCGCAAGCCUGAUCCAGCCAUGCCGCGUGCCUGAAGAAGGCCUUCGGGUUGUAAAGGACUUUUGUCAGGGAAGAAAAGGGCGGGGUUAAUACCCCUGUCUGAUGACGGUACCUGAAGAAUAAGCACCGGCUAACUACGUG
rnacentral:rRNA from 1 species